rnacentral:lncRNA from 1 species
CGGGGUUCAAAAAUCUAAUUCACAGCCCAUGUUGGUUAGAAGAAAAACAGAGACCAAGUAAAUGCUUGUUUAGUUUAGUGAUGUUUUUAUAUCUCAUAUGUGUUUUUUUUUGCUUUUUUUAUUUUACAACCUGGGGGCUAAUAACAAGAGCGAUUUCUUUUCUUUUUAUUGAUAUGUAUUUUUUUGCUUUUUUUUAUUUUACAACCUGGGGGCUAAUAACAAGAGCUAUUCCUUUUCUCUUUAUUGAACUAUAGAUAUGGAUCUUGAGAUUAUAAGAAAAAUUUACAAAUGACUAUGAUUAUAGGAAGCAAGAGCUUUUGUUAAAGUUCUGCAUAUGGUUCAGUGACUCUAAAAAAAUGUUCUUCUGUCUACAUUGCAAUACUUCACCAGUUGAAGCUCAGAUAAAAUUUUGUUUAUGCAUGCCUUCGUACAGCAAAAAAAUAGAAUUAAAAGUACGAUACAAAUUACAUCCUAUGCCACCUUCUAAGACUGAUAUGAACAUGAUGUUUUUAGGUUAUUUGCUCCUAAUUUUUUGGAUAUAGUCUGUAUGGAUUUUAUGUUUUCUCCCCUUCAUGCUUAAUGCAAUUUCAGACUCCAUAUUUGUAGAUACCUUAGUCAUUGUUGUUAAUUAUAUGUAAUUUGUUGUGUGUAUGAAACACAACCUGCUUAUAUUUGCAAAUUAUUUCUACAAACAUUUCGCUGAUGUUUUCAGAAUUUGUUGAGUAACUUCUUCUCCUCCUUUGUAUGAGUUCAUCCAUCCACUGUGUAUGCAACCAUGUAGCAACUACAAAUAUAUACCUCAUCACAGAUCGCUGAUUCUUCUGUCUAUGCUAUUUCUGGGUAAGGUGGGCUGUAAAGCUUAGAUUUAUUAUAAAUUUGUGAUGGGAUCAACUCUUGUUGCCAUUGACAAAAUACAGUUGUUUGUGAUUUUCUCCCAAAUUAUUCAUGCAUGCAGAGUCCAGGUACAUCCAGGGGAAAUAUUUAUUGCAGAAUAUCCUUUAAAUAUAGAAACUUAUGCUUUCAAAAAGAAAACUUUAUACUUGAUAGGUUGCAUGCUUGUCACCUAAAUUGUAUGUUAUCAGGUACGCUGCAGCGCCUGCCUAGCUCUGUAUGUAGUAGGCUACAACGAGGGUAGCGAUGAUGAGUUAUAGGCCAACUGUCUCCUCCGGCUGCAACAGAUAGCGGCCCAGGCCUCUCUGUGGCAAGAUUUAUUGUGUUGUCAAUUUCUAUUAUGAGUUUUAUGAUUUCAAUAGGACAUUGAUCAUGCUCCUUGUUGAUUGGUGAGUUCACUUUUCACUCCUGAUUUUCAUUAACCAUUCAUGAAUUUUUAAUUGAGAAGAUGUAGUUUGUAUUUUUGCUUCCCCACUUGGUGUCAGUUAGCCACACCCUUGCAAAAAUACAUUUGUUUUGUUGUCUAUGUACCUCACCAAUAAAUAUUAACAUGACUUUUAUGUUCUUUUUUGGCGACUCUCUAGAUUGCAUUUUCAACUAGGACUGGUAUACCCAUGCUUUGUCCAUGCCUUCAUGCUGUGCUGAUGUAUGCUUUUAUUACAAUGCC